rnacentral:rRNA from 1 species
AUUGAACGCUGGCGGAAUGCUUUACACAUGCAAGUCGAACGGUAGAGGGGGCAACCCCUCGAGAGUGGCGAACGGGUGAGUAAUAUAUCGGAACGUGCCCAGUCGUGGGGGAUAACGUAGCGAAAGUUACGCUAAUACCGCAUACGAUCUAAGGAUGAAAGAGGGGGAUCGCAAGACCUCGCGCGAUUGGAGCGGCCGAUAUCAGAUUAGGUAGUUGGUGGGGUAAAGGCUCACCAAGCCAACGAUCUGUAGCUGGUCUGAGAGGACGACCAGCCACACUGGAACUGAGACACGGUCCAGACUCCUACGGGAGGCAGCAGUGGGGAAUUUUGGACAAUGGACGCAAGUCUGAUCCAGCCAUUCCGCGUGCAGGAUGAAGGCCCUCGGGUUGUAAACUACUUUUGUACGGAACGAAAAGGUCUCUCUUAAUACGGGGGACUCAUGACGGUACCGUAAGAAUAAGCACCGGCUAACUACGUGCCAGCAGCCGCCGUAA